UACGAAGGGGGCUAGCGUUGCUCGGAAUCACUGGGCGUAAAGCGCACGUAGGCGGCUUUUUAAGUCAGGGGUGAAAUCCCGGGGCUCAACCUCGGAACUGCCUUUGAUACUGGGGAUCUCGAGUCCGGGAGAGGUGAGCGGAACUGCGAGUGUAGAGGUGAAAUUCGUAGAUAUUCGCAAGAACACCAGUGGCGAAGGCGGCUCACUGGCCCGGUACUGACGCUGAGGUGCGAAAGCGUGGGGAGCAAACAGG
rnacentral:rRNA from 1 species